CCUACGGGAGGCUGCAGUGGGAAGAGUGGGCAAGGGGCGCAAGCCGGACCCAGUAACGCCGCGUGAAGGAAGAAGGCUUUCGGGUUGUAAACUUCUUUUCUCAGGGACGAAGAAAGUGACGGUACCUGAGGAAUAAGCCACGGCUAACUACGUGCCAGCAGCCGCGGUAAUACGUAGGUGGCAAGCGUUAUCCGGAUUUACUGGGUGGAAAGGGCGUGUAGGCGGGGAAGCAAGUCAGAUGUGAAAACCACGGGCUCAACCUGUGGCCUGCAUUUGAAACUGUUUUUCUUGAGUACUGGAGAGGCAGACGGAAUUCCUAGUGUAGCGGUGAAAUGCGUAGAUAUUAGGAGGAACACCAGUGGCGAAGGCGGUCUGCUGGACAGCAACUGACGCUGAGGCGCGAAAGCGUGGGGAGCAAACAGGAUUAGAUACCCGAGUAGUC
rnacentral:rRNA from 1 species